rnacentral:lncRNA from 1 species
GGAACGCGAGGGAUGGUAAAUUCUCUCUCUUCUCUCUCUUAAAUUUUUGGGAGAAAAAAAGACAAUCGCGGUGGUCUCUUCGUUGCCGACUCCGGUAUACGGUGGUUCCUUUGAUGCUGUGUAGCCGGUUCUUGACUCCGGUGGUUCGCAUUCUCCUUGGCGGAAUCAUCCGGCUUUUGACUCCGGUGGUUUCGCUUUCGCCUUGGCGGAAUCAUCCAGCCUUGGUUCGUUAUUCUCCAACAUCGAUUGAUCUUUGCUCUGACGAAUAUUGGAGUUCGUUUUUGGAGUUUCGAUCUCGAGUAGAGUUAGCUAUUAUGUUUCGACUGAGUUUGGUGGUUUGAGUUAGGAUGAAAUAUCGAUAGAUUCGAUUGAAGCUCUCCGAAACUCAGGUUUGUGUUCGUCGCUAUUGAAUUCCCUAAUCUUCCAAUACAGUUGUUGGAAGUUUAUUCAGUAGUUGUGGUAUGAGUUCCCGGGAGAAUCCGGAGAUUAAACGUUCUGGUUGAUCCGAUGAGGACUUCUGUCGGAGAAGAUAAUGGAGGUGUGUGUGAUCGUCGUGCCUCCGGUGUGGCACGGUGGAUUCCGGUGUUUUCGUCGUUCAGGUCUCCGGUGGUGAAGCUCGAGGCGGCGAAAGCGGUGAUGUGGGGCAUGUGUAACGCGUGUUUGCUCCUCGUUGUUUGAGGUUUCAACACGUGGCCCACCUUUGCUGUUUCUUUGGACGUGUGUGUCGGUUUUGUUUUUUUUUGGGUUGGGCUGUUAUGUUGUGGUGGGCCUUUGGGGUAUGUGUUGUAUGUGUGAGUACGGGCUUUUACUCUUUGGACUUAGA